rnacentral:rRNA from 1 species
CGAGAAGCGAACCUGCGAAGGCAAGCGGAUCUCUUAAAGCCGUUCUCAGUUCGGACUGUAGGCUGCAACUCGCCUACACGAAGCUGGAAUCGCUAGUAAUCGCGAAUCAGAAUGUCGCGGUGAAUACGUUCCCGGGUCUUGUACACACCGCCCGUCACACCAUGGGAGUUGGGAAUGCCCGAAGCCGGUGACCUAACCGAAAGGGAGGAGCCGUCGAAGGCAGGUCUGAUAACUGGGGUGAAGUCGUAACAAGGUAUC